UGUAGCUAUUUAAAUUUAAAUAUAAAUGCAUUAAAUAAAUUUAAAGAUUCAGUUUCUCAUUCACAGCGGCCACAUUUUGGGUAUUCAUUGUAAGGUGGCUACUGUAUUGGACAGCUCAGAGGUGGGACAUUUCUAUCACCACAGAAAUUUCUCUUGGACAGCCCUGGCUUAGUACAUUAAGCUGUUACUGCAAUUUGUUGUUAUUGGGUGUCUUUCUAGUGACAGUCACUCUAAAGGGGAUUGGGUGAGAAAUUUGGAUUAUGAUAGAAAAUGAGAGCUGCUGAUGGGACCAUCCCAUGGUCCAUGGUCCUGUUUUCAUGUCUUUAAAGGAUUCCAGCACCCUUCAGACUUUGCUCUGGGUCUUCAGAUGGGACAGCCUGUGCCAUCGAAAAGCUAGAAUCCCCAGUGGUCUCUGAAGCUGAUGCUAAGGGCAGCCUGGGCCCACUUGAAAUCAGUGGCACUCAGGAGGAAGGAGGGGUGUGGAUGGCCACUGGGUUCAGCCCAGGGAAGGGGUGUCUGAUCUGAGACAGUUUUAUCCGACACACGCUGAUACCAGCUAUUAUAGAUUUCCACCCCUUCACAAGCACUUGGUCAUCUCAGUGUUACACAAAUUUAAUAGAAACAAAUUUUGUCCCCUUUUUUUUUUCUUGUGCAGGCCUAUCCCCCUUUGUUCUGUUGUUGUGAUAAAUAGCCAGCUUGAUAAAGUUGAAGGAAGGAAAUUGUUUGUUUCCUGUAAUGUCCGAAGUGUGGAUGAAAAGACCCUAUACUCCGAGGCAACAAGUUUAUUUGUAAAACUAGAUCCUAAAAAAAGUUUGACAUAAAAGAGCUUCUGGUGCAUUCUACACCAAUCUGCACUACUUCCCUCCAGAAGAAGCUGUUGUCUCCAGUUCUGCUCUACUUACCUACUUUUGAGUCCUCCAGAGGGUGAAGCCUGCUAACACUGAUCUUCCUCAACAAAUCUUCGGAAUACAACUCCAGGAGCUCUAUUUCCACCUUCUAAACUCUUUAACACAGAAGGACUCCGUGUGACAGUA